rnacentral:lncRNA from 1 species
UAGUGCAAUAAAUAGCAUCAUUCAAUAUUCAGUAUCACAGUUUAGAUAACAAACAGUUUAAUAGAUACUAAUUUAAUAUUUCAGUAUCAUAAACGUUACACACGACUUCCUAUUCAUUCAUAUCAGUUUAUAUCCUAUAAAAUAGUUUCUCCGCGGGAUGCUAUUUCUGCCGGUAUCAAUGAGAGCAGUAAAGAUCUCUUUUACCACGUGAAUAUGUUACAGUUGGGUUCACAGUUUACAAUUUACAGUACACAGUAUUCAGUUCACAGUUCCUAUCACUUUGCCAUGUCUCGCUAAAGUCGUAUCCACAUGUAGGAUUCACCAUAGUCACACGCCAAAAAUCUACACAUAUAUCCACCCCUUGGUGAUACCAGUUAAAUGAGUUUUUUAAAUCUUUUAUUAUAUAUUUAUUUAUUUUAACUCACUAAUAAAUUUUCUAAUUUUUAUUACAUAAUUUAUUUUAUACCUAUAACAUGCAUACGGUAGCCAUUCAUCACCGUAGAUUAUUCUACAUAUUCUUAAUAUACUCUCAAUUACAUAAUAAAUAAUACAUAUACGAAUUCAGUUAUCAAAACAUAACAAAACAAUUCAUCAGCAAUUUCAGUAGUAAACAUAAAUAAGAACAAAAUAAUCAGUAGUAAAAUUCCGUCAGAAUUAUGUGACUAAUUAUUAAUUAUUAAAUGUCACAGUUUUUAAUAUCUUAAAAAGGUUAAACUACAUUUGUAAGCAUUUAUGCACUUACCUGAUUUCCGUCUAAAUCUCUUUCGUGAAAUUAUUUUCAAUGUACAAGAUCAACCUAUUAUAGUGAUAUCCAAAUCGGUUAGUAAUGAGCUGGUUAUCUUAUAAUUUCAAACCCUCAUGUCUAGACUUAUUCUUAAUUAUAAACCAAAUACGUAAUUUGUUAUAUUAAAAUUAAAUAGGAUUAAUAAACCCUAAAUCUAAAAUAAUAAACCAUCAGGGUUUUUUGAACUCACCUAUCUGAAUCGAGUCCCUAGGACUCACUGCGCAUAACUAUCGAAAGUCCAUGCGCCUCGAUAUGCGGCGCCACCAGACCGCCACGCACCACCGAUCGUUACUACGAUUGGCUAAAAUUCACCGCAGAGAGCCUCGCACCCUCAGAUCUGGUACAAAUCUAGUGAAAUCACGCCGAAGAGAGCCACAAAAUGGCCAAACGCACUUGGAGCUUCUGAGUAAACUGUUUUCUUCUCCCGCGCACCACUGGGCACAACACCACCCUUUUUUCCUCCUUUACCCUCGUAUCCUUCUCCUCUCCUCUCUCGGCUACCAACUGACAGUAGUUGCGACUUUUUCCCUCUCUCUUUUUUUUUUCUCUCUCUCUUUCUCUCUCUUUUCCUACACCGAUCGCCUCCCCUCCCUUUAUUUUUAUAGGGAGGGGCAGAAAGAGUCCUGCACGAUUCUUUUUCUCUGUCGUGCAGGUCUCCUCUCCUCCUUUUCUAGUCGGUGGUAGAGGCAUACACACCUCUACCUCUUCACUUCCUUGACCAGAGGCAAUCACCUUUGUUUUUUCUCAUUCUUACGUAAAACAACGUUGUUUUGGGGGUUUUCAAAAACGACGUUGUUUUGGGUCUAUUAGAAUCCCUUAUCCUUAGAAAAAAAUUGGUCCUUCAAAUUUAUUUUAUUAAUAUAAAAUAUCUUUACAUAAAGUUAAUUAAAAUUACAAAACAUUAAAUAGAUUGGGAUACUUAUCUUGAAAUUCCGUUUCUACCUCCCAAGUGGCUUCCUCUUUAGUAUGGUUCUGCCAUAAGACCUUGACUAGGAGAAUCAUUUUAUUUCGAAACACC